UAAACUCCUCGUACUCUUCUUG
rnacentral:miRNA from 1 species